AAGGAGCAAGGUAUUAUGUUGCAGGGGAUAAAAAGUAUGCAGCAUCAUGAACAGCAGACAAAUGGAAAGCAAUUGAUAGAUAUCACUACUAAAAGUGGUGAGCAGGUGGAUGUUGCAGGGGAUAGAGGCAAGGCAACUAUGGAAGUAAAGAAUGGAGGGCAACAAUUUGAUCCAGGACCCUCUUACAUUCUAGCUGAUGAUAAUCCAUGAUAGUGGUUACUUGGAAUAUUAGGGNNN
rnacentral:lncRNA from 1 species